GGGCGCGUAGCUCAGUCGGCUAGAGCAGCUCCCUUACAAGGAGCAGGUCACGGGUUCAAGUCCUGUUGCGCCCA
rnacentral:tRNA from 1 species